AGUGGAUGGGGAGCAACCUAGUUGUGCGUGUGUAAAGGUAGUGCCAAGAAAAGCGAUGAUCAUGUUGAAAAUCAGUUCCCGGUACCCGAAACCGACACAGGUGGGCAAGUAGAGAAUACUAAGGGGCGCGAGGUAACUCUCUCCAAGGAACUCGGCAAAAUGACCCCGUAACUUAGGGAGAAGGGGUGCCACCGAGAGGUGGUCGCAGUGAAGAGGCCCAGGCGACUGUUUAGCAAAAACAUAGGUCUCUGCAAACUCGAAAGAGGAGGUAUAGGGGCUGACGCCUGCCCAGUGCCGGAAGGUUAAAGAAGUUGGUCAGUUUUAGGAUGAAGCUAGCGACUGAAGCCCCGGUGAACGGCGGCCGUAACUAUAACGGUCCUAAGGUAGCGAAAUUCCUUGUCGGGUAAGUUCCGACCCGCACGAAAGGCGUAACGAUCUGGGCGCUGUCUCGGAGAGAGGCUCGGCGAAAUAGGAUUGUCUGUGAAGAUACGGACUACCUGCAUUUGGACAGAAAGACCCUAUGAAGCUUUACUAUAGCUUGGAAUUGUGUUCGGGCUUCCUGUGCGCAGGAUAGGUGGGAGGCGUAGAAGGUAUUCUUGUGGGGAUACUGGAGCCAACGGUGAGAUACCACUCUCAGGAGGCUAGAAUUCUAACUUAAUUAAGGACAGUUUCAGGUGGGUAGUUUGACUGGGGCGGUCGCCUCCAAAAAGGUAACGGAGGCGUACAAAGGUUCCCUCAGACUGGUUGGAAAUCAGUCGAAGAGUGCAAAGGCAGAAGGGAGCUUGACUGCGAGAAGUACAGUUCGAGCAGGGUGGAAACACGGUCUUAGUGAUCCGACGGUGCUGUGUGGAAGGGCCGUCGCUCAACGGAUAAAAGUUACUCUAGGAUAACAGGCUGAUCUCCCCCAAGAGUUCACAUCGACGGGGAGGUUUGGCACCUCGAUGUCGGCUCAUCGCAACCUGGGGCGGAAGUACGUCCCAAGGGUUGGGCUGUUCGCCCAUUAAAGCGGUACGUGAGCUGGGUUCAGAACGUCGUGAGACAGUUCGGUCCAUAUCCGAUGUAGGCGUGAGAAUAUUGAGAGGAGCCUUCCUUAGUACGGGAGGACCGGGAAGGAUGCACCGCUGGUGUACCUGUUAUGAUGCCAAUUGUAAACGCAGGGUAGCCAAGUGCGGAGAGGAUAACCGCUGAAAGCAUCUAAGUGGGAAGCCCACCUCAAGAUGAGUAUUCUGGUGUAAGGUCACGGGAAGACGACCCGUAAAUAGGCACGAGGUGGAAGUGCAGAGAUGUAUGAAGCCGAAGUGUACUAAUAGACCGUCGGCUUG
rnacentral:rRNA from 1 species